rnacentral:rRNA from 1 species
UGGGGAAUUUUGGACAAUGGGCGCAAGCCUGAUCCAGCAAUGCCGCGUGCAGGAUGAAGGCCUUCGGGUUGUAAACUGCUUUUGUACGGAACGAAAAAGCUCUCUCUAAUACAGGGGGUGAAUGACGGUACCGUAAGAAUAAGCACCGGCUAACUACGUGCCAGCAGCCGCGGUAAUACGUAGGUUGCAAGCGUUAAUCGGAAUUACUGGGCGUAAAGCGUGCGCAGGCGGUUUUGUAAGACAGAGGUGAAAUCCCCGGGCUCAACCUGGGAACUGCCUUUGUGACUGCAAAGCUGGAGUGCGGCAGAGGGUGAUGGAAUUCCGCGUGUAGCAGUGAAAUGCGUAGAUAUGCGGAGGAACACCGAUGGCGAAGGCAAUCCCCUGGGCCUGCACUGACGCUCAUGCACGAAAGCGUGGGGAGCAAACA